AGUUGACAAGAGUGAAGAGGGCUUCACUCUUGCCUCUAUAUAUACUAUCUAACUAGAAGCCACGUGGCGAUGUUCUAUAAGACCUCCAAUAUAUGUUGACUUUCUAGGCCACAUGCCUUUGCUUGCAAGGCAAGUUUUCUAUGGAUGGACCACGUAGUUAGCUUGUUCUUUAAGCUUCCAACAUGCGUGGCACAUGGCUAACUUGCUGACCAAGUUUCUAAUCUAAAAGUCAACUAUAGACUCCUAUAAAGUCAAAGCAGUGUCUAUGAAGCUUCUAAGAAGCUUCUCUAGAAGAUAUUACACAAUUAACCUACUUUUACAUACUUUUAUCUAUUCAUAUAGGUAAUUAUAUGUAUGUCCGUGACAUUACCCCCCCUUCUAGGGACGAGUUCCACGAGGAGCGGUGAUUAUAUAUUGAGAAAAUCUAAUAUGCGGUGAAUUGUAUUUGCUACAUACUCUGAUCUUUGUUCUCUUCGAAGAUAGUUGAUGGGUCCUCUUAGCCAUCGAUAGUGUCCCAUUCCAGGGCGAGAAGACCACCCUGUUAUUUGAUCACUGUUGAGGCCUUCAUAACUUCCUUCAAAUAAUAUAUUUGAAACACCAUCAGGAGUCGUUCCUAUCUCCAAUAAUAUCACCAAACAUCGAGAAUCUCUUCCAAGGUCGUGAUACCAAACGCGUUGUAUCUCACCAUCUAUUCGAGGAAGAACAUGUCGUUCUUGAGGGUCUUCAUCUCGGUUGCGUCGUCUUGAAGGUUGUGACAAUCGCAAUGUCUCAUCCGGUAAGUCAGCAAACGAAGGUUCUUGAGUUGAAUCCGCUGGUUGUUGGCUCUCCAUCUAAUUAGCGUCACAAAAUGCAAAGAAAUUACAAACAAGGAUAGGAAAUUGAAUGUUAUCUUGCCUCAAUCUUGUCUCUUUUAUAAGAGAGGUUUUCAUCUUGGUUUUGAUGGAUGUCGUUGAUGAAAAACUUUGACUUUAGCUGAUGCAUUUACUAGAUUCCUGGAUGGCUCCCAUGUGCGCUCACUAAUAUCAUAUCCGCACCAAUGAACAAGAUAUUCCAGCUUAUUUCGGCGCCGCCUUGAGUCUAAUAUCUCUUCCACCUCAAAUUCUUCAUUAUUAUCUACUUCUAUAGGAGGCGGUGGCAUUUGUCUUCUUCCUUGUAUAUCCACUGUCUUAUAUGGUUCAAGAAGAGACACGUAGAAUACAGGAUGGAUCUUCAUUGACUCCGGUAGAUGUAACCGAUAUGCAACUGGGUUGAUCUGUUCAGAAACAGAAAAGGGGCCAAGCCUACGAUAGUCCAAUUUGUCACAAGGUCGAGUGGUCUUGAUAUUGCGACGAAGUAGCCAUACCUUAUCAUCCACGUUGAGUUGUGGUUGCUCUUUACGAUAUACAUCUGCAUUUAUCUUUUGUCAUUCUUGAGCUUUCUUCAACUGCGCCUUCAUUAUUGCAUGUAACUCUGACAACCGAUUUGCCAUAUCUUCUGCUGCAGGAUUAUCAACUUUUGAAAAAUCAUAAGUAUCAAGUCGUGGAUGAUAGCCAUAAUUGGCAAAGAAAGGUGUUUGUUGCGUGGAGGAAUGUACCGUAUUAUUAUAAGCAAACUCUGCCAAUGGCAGAAGGUUUGUCCAAUCAUCUUGUUGGUAGUUGAUGGUACACCUUAAAUACUAUUCCAAGACUUGGUUUACGCGCUCUGUUUGUCCAUCAGUUUGAGGAUGGAAAGCUGAAGAUAGCUUUAUGUCCACUUUUAAAAUCUUGAAAAGAGUCCUCCAGAAUCUCGACACAAAUUGAGUUCCCCUAUCCGAUAUGAUAUCUUUAGGUAAUCCAUGAUAGCGAUAGAUAUUAUCAAUGAAAAGCUUAGCUGUUUCUUCACUUGUGAUAGAUUUUGUACAUGGCAUAAAAUGUGCCAUCUUGGUGAAACGAUCUACUAUCACAAAUAUAGAAUCAUAAGAUCUUGAGUUUGGAAGAUCUGUGAUGAAAUCCAUAGAAACAGAAGACCAUGGUUGUUCUGGUAUAGGUAAUGGCUGAAGAAGUCCGUAAGGUCGAUGUCGAGGAAUUUUUGAUCUUGAACAAAUAUCACAUGAUUGUACAAAGUCUUUGACUGACUUCCGAAUUUGUGGCCACCAAAAAUCUCUUGAUAUGAGUUCCAGAGUCUUAUUAUAUCCAAAGUGCCCUGCUGCUGGAAAGUCAUGACGUGCUUGAAGAACACGCAAACGUGCUUUUCCUUCUGGAACAUAUAGGCGUCCUUCAAAAUAUAAUAGAUUAUUCUUGAACUCGAACUUAGAAGAAUCAUGAGACUUGGAAGAAUUAUUCUCGAUAUCAUGAACAAGAGGGUCUGAGGACAUACUGGACUGGAUUUGCUUGAGAAAAGUUGAAUCAACAGUCAAUGUUGAUUUCACUGCUCGGAGAUGAAAUUGCUCCGGUUUCAAGAGGACCGUUCUUUGUUGCUCAAAAGCUGCAUCUCCUUCUUUUGGUACAAAAUAAGAACGUCUAGACAGGGCAUCGGACAAACCUUGUUGUUUUCCUGGCCGAUAAGUGAUAAUGAAGUCGAAUCUUGACAAAGACAUACUCCAACGAGCUUGACGACGAUUCAACACGCGUGCUGACAUGAAAUACUCGAGAUUCUUGUGAUCUGUAUACACAAUGACUGGACUAGAAGCACCUUCUAGAUAAUGACGCCAUUCUUGAAAAGAAUCCACGAUUGCAAGAAGUUCUUUAUUGUGAAUCUCAUAAUUGAUCUCGGCUGCUGAGAAUUUUCUUGAAUGAAAAGCUAUCGGAUGAAGUUUGUCAUCUAUUCCCAUUUGUGAUAAAACUGCACCCAAGGCAAAAUCCGAUGCGUCUGUUUCCAUAAAAAAUACCUUGGAAAAGUCAACACGAUAUAAGACUGGUGCAGAGACAAACGAUGUCUUCAAGGCUUCAAAUGCUGCUUCCGCUUCUUGAUUCCAUUGGAAUUUAUCUUUACUAGUCAAGCGUGUAAGUGGAGCUGCAACUCGUGAGAAGUCUUUGAUGAAGAUCCGAUAGUAAUUGGCAAAUCCCAAGAAACAUUGGACAUCUCUUACAGUCUUUGGAAUCUUCCAAUCCAUGAUUGUUUGGACUUUCUUAGAAUCCAUCAUAAGACCAUCAUUUGAAAUGAUGUAUCCUAAAAAGUCAACUUGAGUAGUGUGAAAUACACACUUUUCUAUCUUGGCGUACAAUCCUGCAUCUCUAAGUUUUUGUAAUACUUGACGAACAUAUAUUUCAUGUACUUCGACAUUCUUAGAAUAGAUCAGGAUAUCGUCUAGGUAGUAGAUGACAAAAUUGUCUAAGAAUUCACGAAAUACAUCAUUCAUGAGAUGUUGAAAAGCAGCUGGUGCAUUCGUGAGUCUUAAAGGCAUGACAUUAUAUUCAAAAUGCCCGUACCUGGUUCGAAACGCAGUCUUCCAUUCAUCUCCUUCUUUGAUCUGUACUAGAUUAUAUGCUCCUCUUAGAUCUAUUUUUGUAUAGAUCUUAGCUUGAUUUAACUGGUCAAGGAGUCCUGAUAUCAAAGGUAAUGGAUACCUAUUCUUGAUUGUGAUCUUGUUGAGUCCUCGAUAGUCAACACACAUUCGUAAAGAUCCAUCUUUUUUCUUUACGAAUAAAAUUGGAGCUCCUGCUAGAGAUUUUGAAUGGCGUAUGAAAUUCUUCGCUAAAUUCUCGUCAAUAUAUGUCUUGAGUUCAGCCAACUCAUCUUGCGAUAAACUGUAAAUUGGUCCAAAUGGUGGCUGACUUCCUUCCUUGAGAUCGAUUGAACAAUCGUAUGGUCGAUGCUCAGGAAGAAUAUCUGCAUUCUUUUUCUCAAAAACAUCUUGAUAAUCCUGAUAUUGACUUGGAAUGCCACUUGAAGUCUUUACGCUUUCAGAAAUAGGUGCAGCAUAAAUAGCAAAAGUUGAUCCUUCUUUUGCUGCGUGUAUAAAUGCUUUUGCACCUAUAAGUGCGGGUUUUACUAUACUAGACUCAUUGUUUUUUACUUGAUUAAUAGAACUGUUACUAAUGCUCCGAGAAAAAUCAAGUUUACGAGAAAUCCAAUCUAUUCGAGGAUUAUACUUUUCUAACCAUGAUAAGCCUAAAAUUACUGGAUUAGAGGGAGAUCUAAUUAUAUUAAAAAUUACGCAACUACUAUGACCAUUUAUUACUACAUCUACAGGAAGUGUUUCGUGAGUUACAUCUCCAGAAGACAACGGACGACCAUCUAUGACUUCUACGUGUACAGGUUUAGUUUUUUGUAUUAAUGAUAUUCUAUGACAUCUAGCAAAUUCUUCAUCUAAAAAACAAGAUGAGGCUCCUGAAUCUACCAAGGCAGAGGCUUUGUAAUUAUUAGGUCCUAAACGCACAUCUAUUAUAAAACAAGGAGAUGGUUCUGAGGAGAAGAUAGGACCUUCAUUAGAAGUUGUAUAAGAUUCCAGCCGCACGGUCCCUAUUGUAGCUGGACGUACUCGUUUUCCGACAUACUGUCUUCUUUGACAGCCGUACUCCUCAUUUUGUAGUUACGUUGCUUCUUUGGACAAUGUUGAGCAGUGUGCUUAGGUUCUCCAUAAUAUAAGCACAAUCCUUGUUAUCGACGACGAGACUUUUCUUGCUCAGUAAGAGGUUUGAAACGUACCGCAUCAAUUUGCAUAUCCUCUACUUCUGAAGGUAUGUGUUGAGGAGAGGUCGGUGUUGCCAUUGAAUUGUAGUAACAUUGAGGCCCACUUGUGCGACUCUCGGAUCGAAAUUCAAAAAGUCGAUUGUCGCACUUCACAGCAAAGUCAAUUGCUUGACUCAAUGUUUGAGGAUCAGGUAAAUUAAGCAUCAAUUUCUUUACCUCAUAUUGUAAUCCGUAGAGAAAUUGACUCACAAGUGCGGCAUCAUCCCACUUGAUAUCAGUUGCAAGUUGUCGAAAUUGCGAAGCAUAUAAUGUUACUGAUCGAUUGCCUUGUCGCAAAAUAUGGAUCUUGUUGGUUGCAACACGAAUUGCAUCAUGUUCUCCAAACAUGGAUCAAAACUCCGCCAAAAAAGCCUCCAGAUUAUCCAAUAUUGGAUCUCGUCGUUCAAGAAAAGAUGAAAACCAUGACAAUGCUGAACUUGAAAGAAGUGUACCAAUGAAUCUAACUUGUGACCCUGGAGUUGGAUAGCUCUGGGGUUGAAGUUCAAUCACUAAUUGGACCUGAUUGAUGAAUCCUCGAAACUUGGAUCUGGUACCAUCAAACUUCUCGGGCAAGGCAACUCUCGGUUCUCUAACACUCGAAGGAUGUUCCAUUCUGGGAGAAGGGACAUGGUUUGGUGCAGAUGUUGAAGCAGCCCCAAUCAUCUCUAUAUCUUCACUUCCUACCAUUCUUGUUGCUCCUUGUGGUAGUAAAUUGAGUUGAUGCAUCGCAAGCAUUAACUCCCUCAAUUGUUCUUGCAUCUGUGCCAUUGCACUCUUCAUUUCAACAAGCUCUGUCAUAGUAGCACUUAGAAAAGAGAAGAUGUCUAGUAACGCUCAAAACAAAUAGAAGAGAGGAAUUGAUAACAAAGAAAAUACUAAGAACAAUAUCAGUUUAAAAGAGGGUAAUCCGCAACUUCUAAUGCGCUUAUGUCUUAUCAAGAAAAAGGGGUAAUCCACUCUUAAUCAAGAAAAGACAAAGCUCUCAUAUUGUAAGUGUACUCUUGUCAAUCUGUCAAGGACAAGAACUCGAUGAAAGCUAAAGAGUAAGUGAAACUUUGCUCAAAGAAAUAGGACAAAAUAGAAAUAUGUAUAUUAAGAAAGAAAUUAGAAUGGCUAUUGCCAAAAUACAAGAAAACUAGAGACCCUUGAAACUAGACUAGAAGCAAGAAAGGAGUUGACAAGAGUGAAGAGGGCUUCACUCUUGCCUCUAUAUAUACUAUCUAACUAGAAGCCACGUGGCGAUGUUCUAUAAGACCUCCAAUAUAUGUUGACUUUCUAGGCCACAUGCCUUUGCUUGCAAGGCAAGUUUUCUAUGGAUGGACCACGUAGUUAGCUUGUUCUUUAAGCUUCCAACAUAUAUGGCACAUGGCUAACUUGUUGACCAAGUUUCUAACCUAAAAGUCAACUAUAGACUCCUAUAAUAUCAAAGUAGCAUCUAUGAAGCUUCCAAGAAGUUUCUCAAGAAGAUAUUACACAAUUAAC
rnacentral:lncRNA from 1 species